CCCGGGUCUUGUACACACCGCCCGUCACACCAUGGGAGUGGGUUUCACCAGAAGUAGCUAGUCUAACCUUCGGGGGGACGGUUACCACGGUGUGAUUCAUGACUGGGGUG
rnacentral:rRNA from 1 species